rnacentral:misc_RNA from 1 species
GAAAAUGCGAUAUGCAGUGUGAAUUGCAGAACCACGAAUCAUCGGAUCUUUGAACGCAACUAGCGCUGGUACAACCAGCAUGUUUGGUUCAGUGUGCGCAACCAAUAACUCAGCUAAAUGUGGGAGAAGUUCUUCCAUCAAGCUCUGCUCCACGGCAGUAGUCACUAUGUGAACUACCGUAGGCUAAAUGACUUAUUUGCACCUGAACUCAAGCAAGAUGACCCGCUGGACUUAA